rnacentral:lncRNA from 1 species
UAAAAUAAAAAUGAAAUUCAUCAUUGAAGUAUUUUGUGUUGUUUUACUCGUUUGGUUGUCGGAAGCAAUUCGUUUCAAUUUCUGAUUAUAUUUUUAAAAGUUAUUACUUCAAGUUCAAGUUCAAAAAGCUAAACGUAAUUGUUUUGAUUUUAUAAUUCGAUUGGCAUAAGUAGUUCAAGUUACUGUUGGUUACACUACUCAACAAAUCUGAAGGAAAAAUUUGCGACUGACUGCGCUAAGAGCAACCUAAUAUUAGCGAGAAACAGCCUCUUACAUCACAGUCGCAAAAUGGCUGUAAAGUAGUGUUAUUAUGCGUUUUCUGUCUCAGUGACACCAACGCGACAUAGUCGGAAGUUGAACUCAUAACUGGGAAAUCGAAAGUGAUCGGCGAUCUCCGAAUUCAAUGAACUGUUCAAAAAUAUCAAAUAUGGAAACUGCCCACGGAUCCAUACACACGAUCACAUAUACAUACUUACAUAUAUAGAAGUACAAGAAUCCAUAUUAAAAUCUUUUAAAUAAAACUUCACUAUUUUCGCAAAUGCUUGAAACGGCACCAUGAAAUUUCGAGACAGUGGUCUAAAUUAUUUGACAUUUUGCGCAAUCCAAAAAUUUUUUGCAGGUUUUUGUCUCAGUUGAUGUAAAAUGAUAGCGAGUGGUUUUAAUAUUGCUGUCAUGGGAAGGGACAGAGAGUUACGAACGCAUUAAAUAUAACGAAGUUGGAAAACGACGGGCAGGAUCUGUCAAAUAUUAAAAUACUCCCCUUCUUAUAAGAACAGUUAGACAACAAGCUGUCGCAAAUUAAAACUAUUUUUACUGAAACUAUAGAGAGAUG